GUAAGGAAUAUUGGACAAUGGGGGAAACCCUGAUCCAGCCAUGCCGCGUGAGUGAAGAAGGCCUUCGGGUUGUAAAACUCUUUCAGAUGUGAAGAUGAUGACGGUAACAUCAGAAGAAGCUCCGGCUAACUUCGUGCCAGCAGCCGCGGUAAUACGAAGGGAGCGAGCGUUGUUCGGAAUCACUGGGCGUAAAGAGUGCGUAGGCGGUUAUACAAGUCAGGAGUGAAAUCCCAGAGCUUAACUUUGGAAUUGCUUUUGAAACUGUAUAGCUAGAGUCCCGGAGGGGUUAAUGGAAUUCCGAGUGUAGAGGUGAAAUUCGCAGAUAUUCGGAGGAACACCAGUGGCGAAGGCGAUUAACUGGACGGGCACUGACGCUGAGGCACGAAAGCGUGGGGAUCAAACAGGAUUAGAUACCCCAGUAGUCC
rnacentral:rRNA from 1 species